rnacentral:rRNA from 1 species
CCUACGGGAGGCAGCAGUGAGGAAUAUUGGUCAAUGGACGAGAGUCUGAACCAGCCAAGUAGCGUGAAGGAUGAAUGCCCUAUGGGUUGUAAACUUCUUUUAUAUGGGAAUAAAAUGUUCCACGUGUGGGAGUUUGUAUGUAUCAUAUGAAUAAGGAUCGGCUAACUCUGUGUCAGCAGCAGCGGUAAUACGGAGGAUCCGCGAGUUAUCCGGAUUUAUUGGGUUUAAAGGGAGCGUAGGUGGAUUGUUAAGUCAGUUGUGAAAGUUUGCGGCUCAAACGUAAAAUUGCAGUUGAAACUGGCAGUCUUGAGUACAGUAGAGGUGGGCGGAAUUCGUGGUGUAGCGGUGAAAUGCUUAGAUAUCACGAAGAACUCCGAUUGCGAAGGCAGCUCACUGGACUGCAACUGACACUGAGGCUCGAAAGUGUGGGUAUCAAACAGGAUUAGAUACCCGAGUAGUC